rnacentral:rRNA from 1 species
AGUGAACGCUGGCGGUAGGCCUAACACAUGCCAGUCGAACGGCAGCACAGUAAGAGCUUGCUCUUACGGGUGGCGAGUGGCGGACGGGUGAGGAAUACAUCGGAAUCUACUUUUUCGUGGGGGAUAACGUAGGGAAACUUACGCUAAUACCGCAUACGACCUACGGGUGAAAGCAGGGGAUCUUCGGACCUUGCGCGAUUGGAUGAGCCGAUGUCGGAUUAGCCAGUUGGCGGGGUAAAGGCCCACCAAGGCGACGAUCCGUAGCUGGUCUGAGAGGAUGAUCAGCCACACUGGAACUGAGACACGGUCCAGACUCCUACGGGAGGCAGCAGUGGGGAAUAUUGGACAAUGGGCGCAAGCCUGAUCCAGCCAUACCGCGUGGGUGAAGAAGGCCUUCGGGUUGUAAAGCCCUUUUGUUGGGAAAGAAAAGCAGCAGGUUAAUACCCCGCUGUUCUGACGUUACCCAAAGAAUAAGCACCGGCUAACUUCGUG